GCCGGAAGACCAAGGGUUCCUGUCCAACGUUAAUCGGGGCAGGGUGAGUCGACCCCUAAGGCGAGGCCGAAAGGCGUAGUCGAUGGGAAACAGGUUAAUAUUCCUGUACUUGGUGUUACUGCGAAGGGGGGACGGAGAAGGCUAUGUUGGCCGGGCGACGGUUGUCCCGGUUUAAGCGUGUAGGCUGGUUUUCCAGGCAAAUCCGGAAAAUCAAGGCUGAGGCGUGAUGACGAGGCACUACGGUGCUGAAGCAACAAAUGCCCUGCUUCCAGGAAAAGCCUCUAAGCAUCAGGUAACAUCAAAUCGUACCCCAAACCGACACAGGUGGUCAGGUAGAGAAUACCAAGGCGCUUGAGAGAACUCGGGUGAAGGAACUAGGCAAAAUGGUGCCGUAACUUCGGGAGAAGGCACGCUGAUAUGUAGGUGAAGUCCCUCGCGGAUGGAGCUGAAAUCAGUCGAAGAUACCAGCUGGCUGCAACUGUUUAUUAAAAACACAGCACUGUGCAAACACGAAAGUGGACGUAUACGGUGUGACGCCUGCCCGGUGCCGGAAGGUUAAUUGAUGGGGUCAGCGCAAGCGAAGCUCUUGAUCGAAGCCCCGGUAAACGGCGGCCGUAACUAUAACGGUCCUAAGGUAGCGAAAUUCCUUGUCGGGUAAGUUCCGACCUGCACGAAUGGCGUAAUGAUGGCCAGGCUGUCUCCACCCGAGACUCAGUGAAAUUGAACUCGCUGUGAAGAUGCAGUGUACCCGCGGCAAGACGGAAAGACCCCGUGAACCUUUACUAUAGCUUGACACUGAACAUUGAGCCUUGAUGUGUAGGAUAGGUGGGAGGCUUGGAAGUGUGGACGCCAGUCUGCAUGGAGCCGACCUUGAAAUACCACCCUUUAAUGUUUGAUGUUCUAACGUUGACCCGUAAUCCGGGUUGCGGACAGUGUCUGGUGGGUAGUUUGACUGGGGCGGUCUCCUCCUAAAGAGUAACGGAGGAGCACGAAGGUUGGCUAAUCCUGGUCGGACAUCAGGAGGUUAGUGCAAUGGCAUAAGCCAGCUUGACUGCGAGCGUGACGGCGCGAGCAGGUGCGAAAGCAGGUCAUAGUGAUCCGGUGGUUCUGAAUGGAAGGGCCAUCGCUCAACGGAUAAAAGGUACUCCGGGGAUAACAGGCUGAUACCGCCCAAGAGUUCAUAUCGACGGCGGUGUUUGGCACCUCGAUGUCGGCUCAUCACAUCCUGGGGCUGAAGUAGGUCCCAAGGGUAUGGCUGUUCGCCAUUUAAAGUGGUACGCGAGCUGGGUUUAGAACGUCGUGAGACAGUUCGGUCCCUAUCUGCCGUGGGCGCUGGAGAACUGAGGGGGGCUGCUCCUAGUACGAGAGGACCGGAGUGGACGCAUCACUGGUGUUCGGGUUGUCAUGCCAAUGGCACUGCCCGGUAGCUAAAUGCGGAAGAGAUAAGUGCUGAAAGCAUCUAAGCACGAAACUUGCCCCGAGAUGAGUUCUCCCUGACUCCUUGAGAGUCCUGAAGGAACGUUGAAGACGACGACGUUGAUAGGCCGGGUGUGUAAGCGCAGCGAUGCGUUGAGCUAACCGGUAC
rnacentral:rRNA from 1 species